rnacentral:rRNA from 1 species
ACCUGUUCCCAUUCCGAACACAGUAGUUAAGCUCAUUUCUGCUCACAAUACUUGGCUGGAGACGGCCCGGGAAGAUAGGUAGCGCCAACA